rnacentral:rRNA from 1 species
GACGAACGCUGGCGGCGUGCUUAACACAUGCAAGUCGAACGAAGAGCGAUGGAAGCUUGCUUCUAUCAAUCUUAGUGGCGAACGGGUGAGUAACGCGUAAUCAACCUGCCCUUCAGAGGGGGACAACAGUUGGAAACGACUGCUAAUACCGCAUACGAUCUAAUCUCGGCAUCGAGGAUAGAUGAAAGGUGGCCUCUACAUGUAAGCUAUCACUGAAGGAGGGGAUUGCGUCUGAUUAGCUAGUUGGAGGGGUAACGGCCCACCAAGGCGAUGAUCAGUAGCCGGUCUGAGAGGAUGGACGGCCACAUUGGGACUGAGACACGGCCCAGACUCCUACGGGAGGCAGCAGUGGGGAAUCUUCCGCAAUGGACGAAAGUCUGACGGAGCAACGCCGCGUGAGUGAUGACGGCCUUCGGGUUGUAAAGCUCUGUUAAUCGGGACGAAAGGCCUUCUUGCGAACAGUUAGAAGGAUUGACGGUACCGGAAUAGAAAGCCACGGCUAACUACGUG